rnacentral:lncRNA from 1 species
AACAACCCCUGGUCCGACGACAGCAGUCCCUUCUGGCUCAGCAGGUUCUUGAAGUAGUGGUUGUCGAACACGUCGGUGGAGUUGCGGUCGAGCGCCGUGGUCGCGUUCCCGUCGCUGCUCUGUGAGCAAAGGCCCUGCAGGUCGGCCGCCAUGCUGGAGUCCAGCGUCGGGUCCACCGACUCGGUCGUCGAGAAGUUCGACAACCGGUUGUUGAACGUCACGCACCGCGCGAGGCCGAUC